CUAAUCCACACAACCAGACAACUUCUGCACAAACUGAAGUUACUGAUGAAGCCAGUGAAGAUGCUGUGGACCGCCAAAGUGAUGUGGUUUCCACCACAACACCCAAUCCCCACAACCAGACCACAUCUGCCCCUACUGAAGCUGAUGGAGCAAGUGAAGAUGAUUCAGAUGAUGAUGAUGCUGCAAGUGAAGAUG